CUGUCCUGCAUAAACAAACAAGCAAAUACCUGAAGUUUAGAACACCAAACUGAAUGAAAACUCUAACUCAGGAGGGAGGCACAAUUUAAAACUGGAAAAGUUUUGUUUGGAUUUCAUCCUACUCUCUAUAUAAAGAUACAUUUUAUAUUUUGAAUCUCUCUCUAUGAAAAUAUAUCAAUUUUGCUUGGCUUUUAAGAUUUUGCUAGAAAACAAAAAUUGGUACCUGGAAUUAAUCAAAGAUAGUUGCACAGCAGGACAGUUUGAAAUACUACAAAUUAAACUAACAGUAGGGCUUUGCUAUUUUAAUUUCCCUUCCUGCGGUGCAUUUAAUUUAAAUGGAUGACAAAACAAUUUUCUAUUGUUUUAUUUAGAGCACUCAUUCUUGUGUUCAUAUUUUAAGUGUCAUUAUAUCUGUUUGAAUAUAAAGGGAUGAGACAGCCAUAGAUUCAGUGAAGUAUAUCAGGAGAGGAUGAUCAGAGCUACAAGACUGACCCAUAAGGAACUGUGGAAUACAACACUGUCUUUCCAGCAAAGCUCCAAUUUUUUAGGCUUUCUCUUAAUUUGAAUGCACUGUCCACCUGGUACUGAGAUUUAAAGAUAAACAGAGGAGAGGAGUAUAUAAAUAAUUUGGAAAAAAAAUAAUUAAAAAUGUUUGUUUUCUUUGUCUCCACAGAAUGCAAAGUUCUCACAUUAAAAUAAUGUAUAAUUUCAAGUUAAUAAUUCUGAAACCAAUAAUUCUUGGUCUGUGGAUCAGACUGAAAUGUGUAGCUACAAGUAUGCAAUACGCACAGGACUCUGUUCCUGUAAAGCUGUCAAGCCCACAGGUAACUGAAAAUGGAGGUUUGACACGUGGCCAAAUGUUUAAACUUAACCACUGGGGCGUUCUUCUACCUGGCGGUGGAUUGCUGAAUUGGUACCACAGUAAUCCUCAAGGACCUCAUUAUCUGUGGCAAAGCCGUGGCCUGGGUUAGCUUCAUGGAUGUGCUGCGGGGGGAGGAGGACAGGCAUUUUCCUUCACAGCACUGUCUGUCUGUAGCAAUCCUUCCUCACAUUUUCCUGUUUUCCUCAGAAGAAUUUGCAAGGUCUGCAGCCCCAGCAGGAGCAGGGAAUAACCGAGGGUUUUGGAAUACGGGGAUCAGUUUGAAACAGGGCAGGGGAGUGAGGUAACAAUAUAAACCAGUAUCUGAAAAACAAGCUGUUAGAAUUUCAGCUAAGAACUCAAUUUUGCAGUUCAUCUAUUACAGAAUUAUCAUUUCAGGCACUUGGCAGAUUCACAAAAGUACUUUAGUGCCCCCUUCAUUCAUGCUCAACGUUUUUUUUCUUUUCAUGAAAAGACAUCUUUAUUUUAAAGUGAAGUCAAACUUCCAAAGGAAGAGAAGUUUUUGUUAAGCUGUGCAACUUUAGAAUCUUUACUACAAUUAAAUUUAUAUCUUUUGGUAAUACGUGGAAACUGAAUUAUAUGUACAAAUGCUAAUCUCUGAGGUUAUGCCAUCUCUUUCACCUAUCUGUAGCUUGCUAAAACAUUUGUGUUCUACUUGGUUGUUUUAAUCUGUUGCCCACACUCAAUUAUCUCCCCUAACACUGAUCACAGUGAUAAAAUGCACUUUAAAAUUCUGCUGAGCAAUGCUGCCAGCUACAGAUUUGUUCUGGCUUUGGGUAUACAUCUCAGUCAUAAGGAAGAACAGCUAUGUGAGUUUUCUGAAUGGUUCUAAGGAAUGUACAGCUAUACAGCUAUGUAGGAAUUUUUAGUUUCUUCCACUUAAUAUCAUUUAUGUACCACGUGAAUUUUGUAAUUUGAUUUUAUAGUACAGUUUGUAUUACUUGUUUUCAUAAGAAGGAAAAUGUAAUAUGUAAUAUGACAGUGCUUGAGCAAGAAGAAUCGGGAAGAAUUAGCAUUUUCUCGUAGCAGUUGUGCUGCCCAUAUUCUGUUUGUGUCAUUUUUUCUAUUUUCUAUCAGGAAUUAGCUCAAACAUAACAAGUAUCUUGAAUUAUAGUCAAUUCAAUAUAUGCAAAUGAAUUAAUGCAUGCUUUUUUUUAUACUGGCGUUUCUGUGCCUCUCUGAAAAUAGAAGCUUCAUUUUUGGUACGUUUUGUAAAAGCAUGACAAGUUCAGUGGUUUCACACAAACUCUUACCUCUUUCCUUAAGGGAUCUACUAAGGCAAUAAUAGAAGGAAAUUUAUUAACCAGUUCCACGUACGUGUCGACCAUUUCAUCAGGGCUUCUGAAUGUUCCAAUUGUGCCACUGCUGAUGGAGCACAAGAAGUUACGGAAACAGUGUCGUCAUCUUCUUCCUCCUGUUCAAUUUCUUUUUUUUCUUCUUCCUUUUUUGAAAAGUAUUCACUGAGAAAAGGAACAAAGAUUGGUGGCUCAAAACACUGUCAUGCAUGUCAAAGGAGGCACGCUAUGUUGGCUGAAGAACAUGCUGGAGAUGGAUUAAGAGCGUCUGUUUGAGAUUCUGCCCUGAUUGUGUGAAGCUGGACAAGUCAGUAAAUUCCUGUUUUUGACAGUUAUCUGCAACACUGAAUAAACAAAAAGAACCACAAGCAAGACUAACAGUCCUCAGCACGUGAUUUUCAGGCUGCACUGGUUUGAAAGGAUCAAGAAUGAAAAGAGCCAAAGUUUAACAGCAGGUGUUUGAACUAUCACCCACAUCAGCAUAUUGGCUCAAAGAAAAGAAGUUCCUUCACCAACUCUUUGUGGAUACUGUACAACUGUUUUGUUUUUUUUUUUUAAUGUCACUAUUUACUGAACUGGUGAGUUAUGGGGAUUCAAUCCAUUCACUAAAGCUGCAAAAUAAAAUGCUCACUAGGAUAUGAGUAGAAUAGUACAUUUCCCUGACAGUGUCUUAUUAAAUAAAUCAGGAAGGAGCAGCUCAC